rnacentral:rRNA from 1 species
AUGGUGAAGAGCAAUCCUAGUUAUCUUGGCAUCUCUGAGCCAAUCUCGUUAAGCGGGCCGACCGAGAAGGAUGUCAUUCAGACAGCUGAGGUCGAAAAGUUUCUUGCUGACGCGGGCUUGUACGAGAGUCAGGAGGAGGCUGUCUCUCGAGAAGAGGUCUUAGGCAAACUUGACCGGGUUUGAGCAUACUCUGCCGAUGUGCUUAUAUUUUGGGUAGGCCGGUUUCAAGAUGACUUGUUGUUUGUCCUGGCAGACUGUGAAAACAUGGAUUAA